AGGAAUAUUGGUCAAUGGGCGCGAGCCUGAACCAGCCAAGUAGCGUGAAGGAUGAAGGUCCUACGGAUUGUAAACUUCUUUUAUAAGGGAAUAAAGUCACCCACGUGUGGGUGUUUGUAUGUACCUUAUGAAUAAGCAUCGGCUAACUCCGUGCCAGCAGCCGCGGUAAUACGGAGGAUGCGAGCGUUAUCCGGAUUUAUUGGGUUUAAAGGGAGCGUAGACGGGCCGUUAAGUCAGCUGUGAAAGUUUGAGGCUCAACCUUAAAAUUGCAGUUGAUACUGGAUAUCUUGAGUGCAGUUGAGGCAGGCGGAAUUCGUGGUGUAGCGGUGAAAUGCUUAGAUAUCACGAAGAACUCCGAUUGCGAAGGCAGCCUGCUAAGCUGCAACUGACAUUGAGGCUCGAAAGUGUGGGUAUCAAACAGGAUUAGAUACCCUGGUAGUCCACACGGUAAACGAUGAAUACUCGCUGUUUGCGAUAGACUGUCAGCGGCUUAGCGAAAGCGUUAAGUAUCCCACCUGGGGAGUACGCCGGCAACGGUGAAACUCAAAGGAAUUGACGGGGGCCCGCACAAGCGGAGGAACAUGUGGUUUAAUUCGAUGAUACGCGAGGAACCUUACCCGGGCUUGAAUUGCAGACGAAUUGCUUGGAAACAGGCAAGCCGCAAGGCGUCUGUGAAGGUGCUGCAUGGUUGUCGUCAGCUCGUGCCGUGAGGUGUCGGCUUAAGUGCCAUAACGAGCGCAACCCUCGUGUCCAGUUACUAGCAGGUUAUGCUGAGGACUCUGGACAGACUGCCAUCGUAAGAUGUGAGGAAGGUGGGGAUGACGUCAAAUCAGCACGGCCCUUACGUCCGGGGCUACACACGUGUUACAAUGGGGGGUACAGAGGGCCGCUACCACGCGAGUGGAUGCCAAUCCCCAAAACCUCUCUCAGUUCGGACUGGAGUCUGCAACCCGACUCCACGAAGCUGGAUUCGCUAGUAAUCGCGCAUCAGCCACGGCGCGGUGAAUACGUUCCCG
rnacentral:rRNA from 1 species